CUAAAUUUGACUGUUUGCAUAAAAAAUUAAAAAACAACACAAUAUCCCAUCCAAGAAAUAAAAGUAUUUUUUUAAAUAAAAAAAUAUCAACUGGAUAUUGGCCAGCAGGUACCAGUUUACUUAAAGUAUCCAUCUUUAGCUCCCAUCACAGCCUCAAGACAACUCUUGGAUCUGGUGUAUGUAUUCCUCACUAUGUUCCUGGGAAUAUCUUUGAACACCUCCCUGAUCUUGGCCAUCAGCUCAGCCUUGAUAUUUUUGGCAAAACCGUUGCUAUUUUUCUCAACCUUGCCCCAUAGCUUGUUCUGGAGGGGUUUUUUUGCCUUUAUCAAGCAGUUUUUUUUGGCUUUGGCUGUCAGAAUUUGUUCCUUGUCUAUUUUUGUACAAAUGGUAAUGAAGGUCCUCAUUCAAGGCCAGCUUCAUGGUGGUAACACCCAUCUCUCUCACCAAAGCCCAGAUUCCCUUGCUCAGAUCUUCCAUCACUUUGUCCUAUUGUUGUUGGAUGAGUUCUGGCAUGCAAGACAUAGAGUCAAAUUCCCU